rnacentral:rRNA from 1 species
UACGUAGGGUGCAAGCGUUGUCCGGAAUUAUUGGGCGUAAAGAGCUUGUAGGCGGUUUGUCGCGUCUGCUGUGAAAUUUCGGGGCUCAACCCCGAACUUGCAGUGGGUACGGGCAGACUAGAGUGUGGUAGGGGAGGCUGGAAUUCCUGGUGUAGCGGUGAAAUGCGCAGAUAUCAGGAGGAACACCGAUGGCGAAGGCAGGUCACUGGGCCAUAACUGACGCUGAGAAGCGAAAGCAUGGGGAGCGAACAGG